rnacentral:rRNA from 1 species
AAACCGUUCAGGGGUAAACCUGAGAAACCCAAAAGAUCGAAUGGGGAGAUUCAUCGUCAGCGGCGUUGGCUUCCGUGCGUUUCGCGAUGCUCGGCGUUUCGGCGCCGCGGCACGCGUGCGCUGCGGCAUGACCGACGCCCGCCGGCGUGCACUUCUCCCUCAGUAGAACGUCGCGACCCGUUGGGUGCCGGCCCACGGCCCGGUUGGUCGACUGUCGAGUUUAAACUCGGCAGACCAUCGGUAGCCCGGCCGGCUGCCCGGCGGUAUUGAACGCUAAUCUCAAAGGUAUUGGGCCGCAUUCAGUGCGUUCCGGCUCGUCGGCAGGUCCGCCUCGCUCGGUUACACGGGCCUAGAACCGCUGCCGGGCGCUUGGCGCGUCCGCUAGUCGACGAUGUCCUCGAACCGGCUCGUUAUUACUCGUAAUAUAUACCUGUCAGCGACGCUUUUGCUUUGGGUACUUUCAGGA